rnacentral:rRNA from 1 species
UGACUGCUAAUACCGCAUAAGACCACAGCACCGCAUGGUGCAGGGGUAAAAACUCCGGUGGUACAGGAUGGACCCGCGUCUGAUUAGCUGGUUGGUGAGGUAACGGCUCACCAAGGCGACGAUCAGUAGCCGGCUUGAGAGAGUGAACGGCCACAUUGGGACUGAGACACGGCCCAAACUCCUACGGGAGGCAGCAUG